rnacentral:rRNA from 1 species
CAGUAGCCACGGGAACACGGAGGGAGCUAGCGUUGUUCGGAAUUACUGGGCGUAAAGCGCGCGUAGGCGGUUACUCAAGUCAGAGGUGAAAGCCCGGGGCUCAACCCCGGAACUGCCUUUGAAACUAGGUGACUAGAAUCUUGGAGAGGUCAGUGGAAUUCCGAGUGUAGAGGUGAAAUUCGUAGAUAUUCGGAAGAACACCAGUGGCGAAGGCGACUGACUGGACAAGUAUUGACGCUGAGGUGCGAAAGCGUGGGGAGCAAACAGGAUUAGAUACCCCCGUAGUCCCUGUCUCUUAUAC